GACGAACGCUGGCGGCGUGCCUAAUACAUGCAAGUCGAGCGGAAGGAUGGGAGCUUGCUCCCAGACCGUCCGCGGCGGACUGGUGAGUAACACAUUGGCAACCUGCCUGUAAGCCUGGGAUAACUCCGUGAAACCGGGGCUCAUGCCGUAUUACUCUUUCCCUCACCUGAGGGAAAGCUGAAAGAUGGCAUCUCGCUAUCGCUUACAGAUGUGCCCGCGGCGCAUUAGCUCGUUGGUGAGGUAACGGCACACCACGGCGACGAGGCGGAGCCGCCCUGAGAGGGUGAUCGGCGACACUGGGACUGAGACACGGCCAAGACUCCUACGGGAGGCAGCAGUAGGGAAUCUGCCGCAAGGGACGAAAGUCUGACGGAGCAACGCCGCGGGAGUGAUGAAGGUGUUCGGAUCGUAAAACUCUGUUGUCAGGGAAGAACAAGUACCGGAGUAACUGCCGGUACCUUGACGGUACCUGAACAGAAAGCCACGGCUAACUACGUG
rnacentral:rRNA from 1 species